GUGCCAGCAGCGGCGGUAAUACGUAGGGAGCAAGCGUUAUCCGGAUUUACUGGGUGUAAAGGGCGUGUAGGCGGGAUCGCAAGUCAGAUGUGAAAACUAUGGGCUCAACCCAUAGCCUGCAUUUGAAACUGUGGUUCUUGAGUGAUGGAGAGGCAAACGGAACUCCUAGUGUAGCGGUGAAAUGCGUAGAUAUUAGGAAGAACACCAGUGGCGAAGGCGGUUUGCUGGACAUUAACUGACGCUGAGGCGCGAAAGCGUGGGAGCGAAACAGGAUUAGAUACCCUGGUAGUCCACGCUGUAAACGAUGGAUACGUAGGUGUGCGGGACUC
rnacentral:rRNA from 1 species